GGGGGCUUAGCUAUCUGGUGAAAGCACCCGACUCAUAAUCGGAGUCAGGCGGGUUCGAUUCCCGCAGCCCCCA
rnacentral:tRNA from 1 species